rnacentral:piRNA from 1 species
GUGGGUGGCACAGCUGAGCAUGCAGA